GGAUUGUUUUCUGUCUAAUCAGAAGGUACAGUUUUAAUACAAAAAAAAAUCCCUAAGCUGAAGGAUUUUGGAGAUAAUUUUGAGUAUGUGAGAUGAUAAUGGUGUUUGGGUGAAAGCACACGCAAAAAGAUAUCUUGGCCUUGCUCUCACUGAAAUCGAGUUCUCACGUUUCCUCAGUAGAAGCAGAGUGGACACCACGUGCACGCUGUGGGUGAGAAUAUUUCACAGAGCCUGUACAAAAAUUCCCCAAAUUUUCCUUGUUGCUCUCUCAUUAACAGUGGCGACAGCAGUCAGUCAGUGUGGUUCGUUAUACCUGUAAUGUAUCUGGAAUUGGAGAAAUACUAAUGGGCUGUCUGAAACUCGCUAUAAUGAUCUACUGCUAUGGAUUUAAAACUAAUUCUGAAAAAAAUUACUAUGAGCCGAUGAAUAUUGAUUUUGCUUUUCUUUUAGUGAUUCCCUAUGAAAUUUAAUUGUAAUAAAAAUUCAAAAAAAAAAAAAGAAUACUGUAGAAAAGAAAAACCGAGAAGAAGAGACCCAUCAGCAUGUGGCUUCAA